GUGCUGGCUUCAGCAGCACAGAUACUAAAAUUGGAACAAUAAAGAGAAGAUUAGCACAGCCCCUGUGCAAGGAUGACACACAUAUUUGUGAAGCAUUCUAUAUUUUU
rnacentral:snRNA from 1 species